GAUGAACGCUGGCGGCGUGCCUAAUACAUGCAAGUCGAACGGAGUCAAGCCUUAGAGACCCUCGGGUCAAAGAGGGGAAGACUGAGUGGCGGACGGGUGAGUAACACGUGUGCAACCUGGCUCAUAGAGGGGGAUAACAGAGAGAAAUUUCUGCUAAUACCGCAUAAGCACACACUGCCGCAUGGCAGAGUGUGAAAAGACAAUCGCAAUGAGAUGGACCCGCGUCUGAUUAGCCAGUGGGCAGGGUAAGAGACUACCAGAGCGACGAUCAGUAGCCGAGAAGAGAGGAUGAACGGCCACAUUGGGAGUGAGCCGCAGCCGAAAAUCCUGCGGGAGGCAGCAGUGCGGGAUAUUGCAAAAUGGCGGGAACCCUGAUGCAGCGACGCCGCGUGAAUGAAGAAGUAAAUCGGUACGAAAAGCUCUAGCAGCAGGGAAGGUCAUGACAGUACCUAAAUAAAAAGCCCCGGCUAACUACGUG
rnacentral:rRNA from 1 species